rnacentral:tRNA from 2 species
UGGGGAUUAGCUCAGCUGGCUAGAGCGCCUGCCUUGCACGCAGGAGGUCAUCGGUUCGACUCCGAUAUUCUCCACGA